UUAUGGAAUUCAAAGCCCAGAACAAUGGGCUCUAUUUAAUAUUAAACGUGUUCUUAAUAAGCCACAGUUUCUCUCCAGAGCUGUUGGAAGGUCCCUCUUGGGCAUCCAGAAUCGCUGUAACAGUUCCCGUGAAGUUGUAAGCAACUCCCCAAGACCAAGUCGUGUUAAAUUUAGAAGUCACUCGAAUCACCUGAUUGUCGGUGAGCCCCGAUCGAAGAAUUCCCAAGUCUAUCCUUGUCCUCCCAUCUCUCUUAUCUAGAUUUACAGACGCAGUUAUCCGCGUGGCUCGGGGUUCCCCGCCCGCAGCUCCUGGAACCUGGCCCGGCUGAGGACGCCCUUCUAGCGCCGGGAACUGGCGCUCACGGGGCACUCCCCCAAGCCGAUGCCUGGGCGCGACCUCCUGGCACUCCCCCCGCCUCCGACACUCAGCUGCCGACCCUUACGCCAAACUGGGGCGUGCCGCGAGCCUCGCCUUCUCUCCCAGGGUGCGGGGCCCCACCCCUUCCCCGUGUCCGCCAGUCCCCGGGCCCGCGGCGAGGUGAAUGGGAAGAUGGAGAUGGAUGUUGAGGGAGUUUCUCCGCGCGAGGAUCCCAUCCCCCGCUCCCAGGGGGCUGGCGGAGCCUGCCAAGCGCCGCCACAGCCGCCCCAGCCCCAGCCCCCGCCGCCGCCGCAGCAGCCGGCUCCGGAUGAACCGCCCGGCGAGAGCGCGGGCACGGAGGACAGCGACGAUCCCGAUCCUGAGGCGAGACCUGACAGCGAGAAGGGAGAGAGCAAGGUAGGUCCACCUCGUUGGCUCUGUGACACCUUUUGAACCAAACCAAGGCGCUCUUGUAGCGGCUGUCACUUAACCCCUUCUCUCCCCCACCCUGUUCCCUCGCCUGUGUGGUGGCGGGGGUUGCAGAUGUGGGGAAAGCGUGAGAUUGAAGGGAAUCGAUGGGCGACCGCUACUUUCCGAAGGGGAAGGCGUGUACAGAAGUCUGUCCGGGUUUCAGUAUCCAGUGUUAUGUGCAGAGAAAAGUCUUCUGGUGCUUGCGCUGUGAUGCUGGGUAGAGCACAGCGCCUCGGGAGAGCAGGAUGGAGAGACCUUUGCUUGCCUGCACCCUAUCACUAAGGCUUAUUUGGAUGAUCUAGGUCAAGGGGAAACAGGAGCUGUCAAGUGGCUUCUCAGACUCCUUGAAGGGAGGUGGCUUGAACCUAAAGAUGACAACAAUGGGAGCAAAGUUUGGCUCUUUUGCAGAAUGGAAAGCGCUGCCUCACCCAGCUCUAAGCUGGAGGUCCUGCUCCUCCCCUGGCAUCCUUCUGCUUCUCUCAGCGGGGCAGGGACCAGGUGCCUGGCAUCAGGUGAGCCCUGGAAAUCUUUCGCGGCCCUGCUGUGUCAUUGUAGACCAGGAGAUAGCGGCUACUGGCAGCGGAGAGAGGAAUUCCUCAGGUAAUGGGGCUCCGGGAAGAAAUGGCUCACGUGCCAUUCUCUGAUGCUGAUGUUUCUUCUGUUGAGAAAAUUGUAAAGUAGAGGAAAUGGCAUAGGAAAUAAUGCCUUGGUAAUAUUCUUAGAGUGUACUUCUUGCAGCUUUGUCUGUGAGUCCGGUUUUCUCCUCUCCCCGCCCCCCCGUUCACGCUUGGAGUUGAGUUUUGUGGAUGCUAGUGUUGGUCAGUUGUGUCUCUAUAGAGCAUAUACUUGGAUUUGUUAAUACAUUUUGAAACUGGCUGCGAAUGUUGGGGGAAGGACUUGUUAAUACAUUUUGAAACUGGCUGCGAAUGUUGGGGGGAAGUUGGUUCAACAAAUCAGAAUAUAGAAACCCAAAAGGAGUCAGUGGAAAUACUUUCUCACUCAGGCUCACUUAAGGAAGUGCUCGAGAAACAGCCACUGUUGGUUCCUGGUUAGGAAAGAAUUGCGAGUCAUGACGCGCCCCUCCUGGGAGAUUGCCUUGGUUUCUGUUGGACCUUUCCCAAGGUGCAGAUAGUCUAAACAUACAUCCAGAACGGAUCACCCUGAGUAUUGACUCUCUGUACUUGGAGACAGGCUCACCUUAACAGGAUGGUAUUUGCAAAUCAUCAAAAUUGUUUUGCAUUUUGAUAUUGAGCUAAAGAUUGUUGUUUAUCUACCAAAAUCAAUAUUGUAACUUAAAUGGCGUUCUAUCAAGGAACUGGUAUUGGAACACACUCUAGACUGGACUUGUAUGGGGUGAUGCAUACAAGAUUUACAUUGUGAAACUGUGAGGAAUUUUAAUAUUCUAACAUCCUUGGCUUUUUUAGUCACAUUUGAUUUCAUGAAUAUUUAAUGCUGUCAUGACUGCAUAUUUACUAUUUUAAAUGACUGUGCUCAGUUUUGUGAAAUAACCAUAACUGAGCGUCCUAUUAUCCAAUUGAACUUUAAGUCUCCUUUGCAAAAGAGGUGUGGGGAAUAAUUAAAAACGUACAGCCAGUGCUGUCAUUUGCACGUUGUUGGUUCAUAGGCCCAGAGAAGAAGAAAUUCCUGUCAUCAGCAAAAAUCUGUGCUUAUUUGUUUUCCUUUUAUACACCACGCAGACUGUCUGAUGUUUCUGCCAGUUGUGAGGAGCGAGGAAGCCAGUGCCUGACAAAUACUACAGCAGGUGAAAGGAGGACUGAAAGUGGGUUGAUGACAUUUCCUUAAUUAGCAUGUUCAGAUAAUUGAGUAUUCCACAGAUGUGAUUUGCUUUCUCUAUGCCUUCAGUUUCUUGAGGUGGAAACAAGAUACUUUUUUCCCUCCAGGUGUUUGCCUGAAAAAAUUAUGUUACACCCAUCCCUUCACCCAGAAAUCAGCUGCGUUAACCCUUUGCUUAUUUCUGCUACUGGCCUCCUGGUUGCUCUGAGAGUUUGAGGUUGGUUGCUGUGUCUCAGACUUUAAUAACUCUUUCCGUCUUUGUGGCUACUAAGGCAUGUUUUACAUUGAUUUUUCUUAGCAAAUCCUAGUUUCAUUAGUGGGAAGGCCUUUGGGUGUCUGAUCAAAUGAUUCUACUAAAAUAGAAGACAAACUGGAAUCAAGCUGUGUGGGAUAAAGUUGGGAGAUGAUCACGGUAAUGCACAAAUGUAUUAAUGUAUUGGACCAUUGUGUUUGCUCCUCAUUCAUGUGUAUAAUAAAAAACGAAUUUGAAAUACUGUAUUAUUUAUC
rnacentral:lncRNA from 1 species